rnacentral:rRNA from 1 species
AUACGGAGGGUGCAAGCGUUAUCCGGAAUCACUGGGUUUAAAGGGUGCGUAGGCGGCCUGGUAAGUCAGAGGUGAAAUACACGCGCUUAACUGGUGAAUUGCCUUUGAAACUAUCAAGCUAGAAUUAUGUUGAGGUCAGCGGAAUGAGUCAUGUAGCGGUGAAAUGCAUAGAUAUGACUUAGAACACCAAUUGCGUAGGCAGCUGGUUAGGCAUUAAUUGACGCUGAGGCACGAAAGCGUGGGGAGCGAACAGGAUUAGAAACCCUAGUAGUCC